AUUUUCUUCUCUUUUAGUCCACCAAACAAAAGAAAAAAGGAAGGGGGAAGAGAGGGAAAGAAGAGAGAAAGAGAGUCGAGAACGCUUGGUGUGACAGAGGGAAGAAGAAAAAAAAUGAGAGAGGACACCGCAGGUGACCUAACCACUAUGAGAGGGGGGCUUUCAUAGCCAAAAGGAGCUGUAAAACUGAGACACUUCCAGGUCCUUUUUCCUUGCAACUUGAACAUUCAAACAUUUUCUGCUAAUUUUGGGAUAUGUUUGGAACUCAAAUUAAAAACGUUUCGCUCCAAAGUCUAUAAUGAAUAUUCUAUUGCAGAAUAAUAUGUGAUACGAAAGAGAAGUUGAAAAGUUAGACUCUGAGAUCAGGUUACCAGUUUGUACUUUUGUGUUGUAAGAAAAGAAAUAUUUUAAAGUCUCUCGUAUAUGUAUCUAAUAUACAUAUUUCAAGGGGUGUAAUCUUUUGCAUACUCUGUAUAUUAAUGAAAGUUAAUUUUUUUUAUUUAAUUAAGUGAAAAGUGUAAGUGUGCUCCAGACAUGCCCCAGAAGAAGAGGGAGCAGGCCGCAACACUAUCCAUAGGUGGAUGGAAGCCCUUCCAUAUGUGGUUGGGAUGUCUGUUCUGUUUUGGGUCACCUUGCGAUGGACUGCUAUGAUCAAUUUGCAUAUUUUAUUUGUGUACAUCAUCUUGUGAUAGUGGGAUCCUGAUCCCACAAAGCUAUUAAUUAUGUAACAAAUACGUCCGUUCAAUAUAAAAAAAAA